AUGAACGCUAGCUACAGGCUUAACACAUGCAAGUCGAGGGGCAUCAGGAAGAAAGCUUGCUUUCUUUGCUGGCGACCGGCGCACGGGUGAGUAACACGUAUCCAACCUGCCCUUUACUCGGGGAUAGCCUUUCGAAAGAAAGAUUAAUACCCGAUGGCAUAAUGAUUCCGCAUGGUUUCAUUAUUAAAGGAUUCCGGUAAAGGAUGGGGAUGCGUUCCAUUAGGUUGUUGGUGAGGUAACGGCUCACCAAGCCUUCGAUGGAUAGGGGUUCUGAGAGGAAGGUCCCCCACAUUGGAACUGAGACACGGUCCAAACUCCUACGGGAGGCAGCAGUGAGGAAUAUUGGUCAAUGGGCGCUAGCCUGAACCAGCCAAGUAGCGUGAAGGAUGAAGGCUCUAUGGGUCGUAAACUUCUUUUAUAUAAGAAUAAAGUGCAGUAUGUAUACUGUUUUGUAUGUAUUAUAUGAAUAAGGAUCGGCUAACUCCGUGCCAGCAGCCGCGGUAAUACGGAGGGUGCAAGCGUUAAUCGGAAUUACUGGGCGUAAAGCGCACGCAGGCGGUUUGUUAAGUCAGAUGUGAAAUCCCCGGGCUCAACCUGGGAACUGCAUCUGAUACUGGCAAGCUUGAGUCUCGUAGAGGGGGGUAGAAUUCCAGGUGUAGCGGUGAAAUGCGUAGAUAUUCGGAGGAACACCAGUGGCGAAGGCGGCUUGCUGGGCUUUAACUGACGCUGAGGCUCGAAAGCGUGGGGAGCAAACAGGAUUAGAUACCCUGGUAGUCCACACAGUAAACGAUGAAUACUCGCUGUUUGCGAUAUACAGUAAGCGGCCAAGCGAAAGCAUUAAGUAUUCCACCUGGGGAGUACGCCGGCAACGGUGAAACUCAAAGGAAUUGACGGGGGCCCGCACAAGCGGAGGAACAUGUGGUUUAAUUCGAUGAUACGCGAGGAACCUUACCCGGGCUUAAAUUGCAGUGGAAUGAUGUGGAAACAUGUCAGUGAGCAAUCACCGCUGUGAAGGUGCUGCAUGGUUGUCGUCAGCUCGUGUCGUGAGAUGUUGGGUUAAGUCCCGCAACGAGCGCAACCCUUAAGCUUAGUUGCCAUCAUUAAGUUGGGCACUCUAAGUUGACUGCCGGUGACAAACCGGAGGAAGGUGGGGAUGACGUCAAAUCAUCAUGCCCCUUAUGAUUUGGGCUACACACGUGCUACAAUGGCGUAAACAAAGAGAAGCAAGCCUGUGAGGGGGAGCAAAUCUCAAAAAUAACGUCUCAGUUCGGAUUGUAGUCUGCAACUCGACUACAUGAAGCUGGAUUCGCUAGUAAUCGCGCAUCAGCCACGGCGCGGUGAAUACGUUCCCGGGCCUUGUACACACCGCCCGUCAAGCCAUGGGAGCCGGGGGUACCUGAAGUACGUAACCGCAAGGAUCGUCCUAGGGUAAAACUGGUGACUGGGGCU
rnacentral:rRNA from 1 species